rnacentral:rRNA from 1 species
UACGGAGGGUGCAAGCGUUAUCCGGAUUUACUGGGUUUAAAGGGUGCGUAGGUGGGUCUGUAAGUCAGUGGUGAAAUCUCCGGGCUUAACCCGGAAACUGCCAUUGAUACUAUAGGUCUUGAAUAUCCUGGAGGUAAGCGGAAUAUGUCAUGUAGCGGUGAAAUGCUUAGAUAUGACAUAGAACACCCAUUGCGAAGGCAGCUUACUACGGGAUUAUUGACACUGAGGCACGAAAGCGUGGGGAUCAAACAGG